CGGGGUGUAGUGAAGUGGGAUAAUACCUGGCCUGGAACCAGGAGACGCAGGUUCGAUUCCUGCUACCCCGA
rnacentral:tRNA from 1 species